rnacentral:lncRNA from 1 species
CACUGACAGAAGCACAUGGGUGGAGGAAAGACCUCUGCGACUGGCUGAUUGAUCCCUGCUGAAAGCCGAGGACCUUGUCCACAGACAGGAACAGUUCUCUUCAUGAAUGAAGGUCAGAGACAAGUGGGUGCUGCCAUGGUGGACAACACAAUGUCAUCUAGAAUGGCUGAACCUCUACCCCCCCAGCACAUCAGCGCCACAGAUGCCUUUGCCAUCUCUUGGAUGCCCUGAUGAAGCCAACAACUGUGAGUACUAUUCAUUGCCCAGGAAAACAGGAGGGAAGAGAUUCAGUGACAUGGGGCAGUGACAAAACAGAUAAAGUGGCUCGGGAAAUGGCUAUACAGGAGCCUAUCCUGGUUACAGGCCUGCAAGAGACAGCCACUGAGAACUAGGAUUAGACUAAGGGAUGGCCUCACUUAGAAAAGGCCCAAGUUGUUUAAAAGAUAAAAAGACAAUGACACACUUGAGGGGAAGGCUAUACUCCCCAGAAAACAAAGAAAAGACUCACUUUGCCAAAUACAGAAAUGGACUCAUUUAGGAGAUAAAAAGUUUGUCCAAGUAGUUAAGGUAUAUGUAAUAGACUUUAAGAUUUUAGCCAAGAGAGACAGUAAAAAAUAUAAGAUACGUCAGUAAACAAAUGCUUAACAAACAAACAAGACAAAGAGACCUAGAGAGUUUAAUAAAAAGUCAAAGUGAACUUCACUGAGAUAAAACCAGAAAAAUAUAAUCACAAGUAUCUCCUAGUGCUUGUAGAUACUUUUUCAGGAAUAGAUAGAAGCUUUCCUCACCAAACGAGAGACGGCCUCUACAAUCAUCAAGAAGAUACUGAAAGAAAUCUUCCCCAGGUCUGGAAUGCCCAAGGUAAUCUGGUCAGACAACGGUCCUACUUUCGUUGCCAAGGUAAGCCAGGGUGUGGCCAAGUAUUUAGAGGUCGAUUAAAAAUUACAUUGUAUUUACAGACCUCAAAGCUCAAUUCAGGUAGAGUAAAUAAAUAGAACUCUAAAAGAGACCCUGACCAAAUUGACCAUGGAGACUGGCACAGACUGGGUGACACUCCUUCCCUCUUGCUCUCUUCAGAGCAAGAAAUACCCCUUCCAGAUUCAGCCUUACCCCCUUUGAGAUCUUAUAUGGGGCCUCAGCUCCUCUGACUGUAUUAGAUGAUGUUACUGAACCAACAUGUCAUAGUAAUAAUGAUUUGUGUGCCAGGCUAAAAGACCUACAGGUGAUACAGAAAGAAAUCUGCUCACAGCUGACAGCAGCCUAUGCCCCGGAGACCCCUGAGACAUCCCAUCAGUUCCAGGUCGGAAGCAGCUACACUGAGCCCAGACACUCGAUCCUCGCUGGAAAGGACCAUACCUGGUGCUGCUGACCACCCUGACAGCCGUCAAUUCUCAGCCCUCACCAGCCGUGUACUAGCUGUUAGGGCUGAGAGCUGGGACCUAGAGAGAAAUUCAGUCAUGUUUGUCCUGGGUUCCAUCGAGAUAGGUGUGGGGAUAGGCUUGAUUUCUAUUACAAAUAAUGUAACAUUACAUAUGUUAGUACUCCUAACACUUCUUGGGACUGUGCCUCAGGGAUCACAACCUAUAUAAGUUUAGAAGUUCUGAAAGACAGUCAUGACCUUGGUGUAUAGGUUCAGAUAGUGUCCAGAUUGGAAUCCUGAUGCUAAAGACUUAGUAAGAGAC